UUCCCUAUAGCUCAGAUAGUAAAGAAUCUGCUUGCAAUGUAGGAGACCCAGGUUCAAUCCCUGGGUGGGGGAA
rnacentral:tRNA from 1 species